GACGAACGCUGGCGGCGUGCCUAACACAUGCAAGUCGAACGGAACUGUUUUGAAAGAUUUCUUCGGAAUGAAUUUGAUUUAGUUUAGUGGCGGACGGGUGAGUAACGCGUGAGUAACCUGCCUUCAAGAGGGGAAUAACAUUCUGAAAAGAAUGCUAAUACCGCAUGACAUAUCGGAACCACAUGGUUUUGAUAUCAAAGAUUUUAUCGCUUGAAGAUGGACUCGCGUCCGAUUAGUUAGUUGGUGAGGUAACGGCUCACCAAGACCGCGAUCGGUAGCCGGACUGAGAGGUUGAACGGCCACAUUGGGACUGAGACACGGCCCAGACUCCUACGGGAGGCAGCAGUGGGGGAGAUUGCGCAAUGGGGGCAACCCUGACGCAGCAACGCCGCGUGAAGGAUGAAGGUUUUCGGAUUGUAAACUUCUUUUAUUAAGGACGAAAAAUGACGGUACUUAAUGAAUAAGCUCCGGCUAACUACGUG
rnacentral:rRNA from 1 species